GCUCAUAUGGGAAUAGCCAAAGUCAGAUUUAUUGAUAGUUGGGUGGUUGGUGUAAAUGAGCAGGGUAGAAGUCCGAGGAGAUUGGUCGAGGCAAUAAAGAGAAUUAAAGAUAUCAGUAUAAGGGAUCAGCU